rnacentral:lncRNA from 1 species
GACUUCGCAAAUAAAAUUUAGAGUUUAAAAAAUAUUUUGAUUGUGAAGCCAUUUCUCAGGGUCAUCUAUCUUAGGCCUACUCUACCUCUGAUACGUCUCUUGAGUUUAGCCACUGUCCAAAAUAUUAUAACGGGAUUAAAAGUUUUAAUCCUAUUAUAUCUUAUAUGUAAAACUAUCUGAUAUAUCACAUUUUCUCCUGCUUUAAGUCCUAACAUUCUUGUCAGGUUUAGACUCAUAAGUAUCAUGCGAUGUGAGACUUGUCUCGCUAGUCUUAACCAAGCUCGCAUCUCCGUAAGACUCGUCCCGUUAGCCUUAACCGACCUUGUGGUAGAGCUGCGCUCUAUCCACAACAGUCAUUAAUAUGAGAGACUCGCUCUUCCCGCUUUAUAAUUAUGAUUCAAAUGAGACUCAACUCACAUUUUUAGUAUAAUUUUGACUCAGCUGAGACUCAUCUCAUAUUUUCAGUAUAAUUCUGACUCAGCCGAUACUCAAAUUACAUUUUCGACUGAUAACUAGCUCUGAUAUCAAUUAUAAUACCCCACUUCUCAAGGGCCACCUAUUUUAUGACUAUUCUAACUCUAGCACGCCUAACUCUCUUAAUUAUUUGGAUCUAAUCAUCGUCUAAAAUACUAUAAUCAGGUUAAAAAUUUUAGCUCUAUUAUAUCUUAUAUAUAGAAUAUAAGGUCUCACAUAAAUGAUUUUAAAAUAAAUUUAAAAAUUUUGAACAAUAGUAAAGGGUAAAUAAGGAAAAGGACAUAAAAUCAUGUCUGGGCUCCUUAUUACUUUGUGCAAGCGUGUUUUGUGGGCAAAAAUUGCAUGGACAUAGUGUCCAAAUUAGCAUCUUUGGGGACGCUCUUGUUGGGCACCACGUGGCUCGCAGACACCCAUCCCACCGUCCCUCUUCCUUCCUCUACUUCUUUCUCUCUAAAAAAAUCAUUUUUUUUAAAAAAAAAGGGACGGUGAGAUGGAUGCUUGCGAGCCACGUGGCGCCUAUUCGAAACAUCCCAAAAAAUGUUAAUGUGGACACUAUAUCCACACAAUUUUUGCCCGCUUCAAAGCAUGGGUCAAAAUAUUAAAUUGACUCAAAGAGAGAGAGAGAGAGAGAGAGAGAGAGAUACAUCACACAUUCACAUGCAGAAAAAUAUAAAAGAAAAACUUCAAAUAUCACUCCUGUAAUUUCGUAUUUACUUACUUAGUAUCUUGUAAUUUAAAGUGUAUCAAGUUAGUGUUAUAUGAUUUCAUUUUUCUCUUUUUAUUAUCCAUUUCACUAAUUUUUUUUCAUUAAACCAGUAACAAAAUUAAAACUAAAGGAUACUAAAAUGAAUAUCGAUAAAGCUAGGUGGAGUAUCCGAAGUUUUUUUUGCAUAUAAUUUAACAAACUAUUAACGGAGGAACUGACGAAAAGAAAAAAAUAAAAUUAGAUGACACUAACUUGAUACACUUUAAACCAUAUGAUACUAAAAUGAGAAAGUGCAAAACUACAGAGGUGAUAUUUAAAAUUUACCCGAAUAUAAAUAUAUUAUUUAAAAUGCAGUUGUUAGUAAAAAGCAAAAUUUGUGGUGGUACUAUUGCAGAUCAAAAGGCUGAACAUGGAAAAGUAUGCAGUAUUCAUAUGCUUCUCAGAUCAGUAAGAUAAAUUUUGGGAGAGUUGGAAGAGAAUAAGAUAAAUUUUGUGUUGUAGUACCUACAAGACGGAUUCGGCUUUCAGCGUGAUCAAAGGCAAAUAGAUCAAAUGUGAAAAUAUGCUUACAUGCUUUUCAAUGGAACUACAAAAAUCAUAUCAUAUCUUUAAAACUGAAUUAGCCUAGAUGUUAUGUAAACUGAACUAUCCUUAACUAACAGGAAAGAUACAUGAAUCAAGCUCAGAACCUCUUAAAACAGAAGGGAAUGAAGAAUGACUCAGAAUACUGUAUUAUCCACCAAAUUAAUAUAUAUAUAUAUAUAUAUAUAUAUAUAUAUAUAUAUAUAUAUAUAUAUAUAUAUAUAUACAUAAUUUAUUUUUAUUUAUUUAUACAAUAUAUAAAAUAUUUAAUAAUUUUUAUUUCAUAGAUCUUCAUCCAACGGUAUAGAUUUUUAAAACCCGCUGGGUUCAGGUUCGGGUUUCGAGUUUUUGGUCGGAUAUGGAUAUGGGUAUGAAUUUUUAAAAUCCGUCGGGUUCGGUUCCGGGUUUGAAUUUUAAUUUGAUUUUCGGGUUCGGGUACGGAUUUUUGAAAAAGAGAAGAAAAGGAAUACAAAUUUCCUAUUCCUCUUUUCAAUAUACAAAAAAUACGUAUUAAACACGGUGAACCAUUCACCGUGUUUAGACACGGUGAAUGGUUCACCAUGUUUAACUUUACUACCGCCCCCAGCCCUACUCGCGUGGUGCUGACGUGGCGCCUGCGUCGCAGGUCUAUGGCCAUUUUUGCAAAUUAAAUUUUGACAGGGCUAUUUUUAAAAUAAAAAUUUGCUAAGGGGCUAAAUGCAAAAAAAGCCCGCUAUUCCUGCUGUCUCCUUUGGAAUCAUUGGUGUGCAAUAAAUUCCUACUGUAAUUACCAUUUUACCGUUUGGCUUAGGUUUUGAAAAAAAAAGUUCUGCAGUAGAGUUAAUUUUGAUUUAGAGAACUCAUUUUGAUUAAAAUCUAUCAAGCGUUUGAUUGAAUUUAAAUAAAAGUAAUUUUUCUGAAGUGAUUUCGUAAAACUGUUUGGUAAAAUAUUUUUAAUAUUUACAAAUAAUAAUUUUUUACUAAAUUUUAUUUUAAAAUAAUUUAAAUUUUGAAUUUAGAUUUAAAUUUUAGAUUUAAAAAUUUUAAAUUUGCCAAAAAUUUAAAAAAUUUUGAUAUUUUAAUUAAAAAUAUAAGUUUGAAAUUUAAAAUUUUUAAAUUUAAAAUUUGAAUUCUUAAAUUCAAAUUUUAAAACUUAAAUUUAAAUCAAAAUGUAAAAUAUAAGAUUUAAAACAUAAAAUUUGAGAAAUUAAAAUUUAAAAUUUAAAAAAUUUAAAACUUAAAAUUCAAAAUUUAAAAGUCGAAAUUAAAAUUUAAAAUUUGAAUCUAAAAUCCAAAUAAAAAUUUAAAAUUUUGAGUUCAAAAUCAGAAUCAGAUUUCAAGAAGCAAGUUUUAGCUGCUUCUGAUUUUGGGUUUCGAAAAUUAGAAAAUUGAUUGUAAAAAUCAAAAUCAAUUUUUAAAAAUAAGAUUACCAAACGCUCUAUUAACUCAAAAAUCACUUCUGAACCCAAAAUCACUUUUCAGAAGUUAGGCCAAAUACCCACUAUAGUUGAUUCCAAUAUAUGUACUUCUAAAUAAGAUUAAGUAUAUGUGGCAAUUGAUCUGUACAUAAAGUAGUGAUUUAUACAUUGGUUCUUAGCAUUAGUCUGAUAUUCAUCCUACGUGACAUAUUUACCUUCUCAUUAAUUUGUCAACGCAGAGGAUUGGAACUCAAAACCCUUGUAUUAUAAUAGAAGUAUUUAAAAUUAACUCAAGUACUAUAUUAUUUAUAAAAUUGAUCAAAUAAAAAACUGACAAAAAAAUAUAGUUAACACCCGAAACACACAAACCAAAUAGAUUAUCUAUCAAUUUUUUUACAGCACUAGUAAAAGAUAAUAUUUCUCCUUAAUAAUUUUCAAACAUCCCUUCAAAUAUUUUCAAACCUCUAGACUUCGCAAAUAAAAUUUAGAGUUUAAAAAAUAUUUUGAUUGUGAAGCCAUUUCUCAGGGUCAUCUAUCUUAGGCCUACUCUACCUCUGAUACGUCUCUUGAGUUUAGCCACUGUCCAAAAUAUUAUAACGGGAUUAAAAGUUUUAAUCCUAUUAUAUCUUAUAUGUAAAACUAUCUGAUAUAUCACAUUUUCUCCUGCUUUAAGUCCUAACAUUCUUGUCAGGUUUAGACUCAUAAGUAUCAUGCGAUGUGAGACUUGUCUCGCUAGUCUUAACCAAGCUCGCAUCUCCGUAAGACUCGUCCCGUUAGCCUU